UACGGAGGGUGCAAGCGGUUGUCCGGAUUUAUUGGGUUUAAAGGGUGCGUAGGUGGUUUUCUAAGUCUGGUUUGAAAGCAAGCGGCUUAACCGUUUGAUGUGGCUGGAAACUGGAGGACUUGAAUGGGUUGGCGGUAGCCGGAAUGGGUCAUGUAGCGGUGAAAUGCAUAGAUAUGACCCGGAACACCGAUUGCGAAGCAGGCUACUACGACUUGAUUGACACUGAGGCACGAGAGCAUGGGUAGCGAACAGG
rnacentral:rRNA from 1 species